rnacentral:rRNA from 1 species
AGAGUUUGAUCAUGGCUCAGAUUGAACGCUGGCGGCGUGCCUAACACAUGCAAGUCGAGCGGUAACAGGUGUAGCAAUACAUGCUGACGAGCGGCGAACGGGUGAGUAAUGCUUCGGAAUCUGCCCAAUGGUGGGGAAUAACUAGCCGAAAGGUUAGCUAAUACCGCAUGAGCCCUACGGGGGAAAGCAGGGGAUCGUAAGACCUUGCGCCGAUGGAUGAGCCGAAGCCGGAUUAGCUAGUUGGUAGGGUAACGGCCUACCAAGGCGACGAUCCGUAGCUGGUCUGAGAGGACGACCAGCCACACUGGGACUGAGACACGGCCCAGACUCCUACGGGAGGCAGCAGUGGGGAAUAUUGGACAAUGGGGGAAACCCUGAUCCAGCGACGCCGCGUGUGUGAAGAAGGCCUGCGGGUUGUAAAGCACUUUUAGUGGGGAUGAAAAGCUCAGGGCUAAUACCUCUGGGUCUUGACCUAACCCACAGAAAAAGCACCGGCUAACUCUGUGCCAGCAGCCGCGGUAAUACAGAGGGUGCGAGCGUUAAUCGGAAUUACUGGGCGUAAAGCGUGCGUAGACGGUUAUGUAAGUCGGGUGUGAAAGCCCCGGGCUCAACCUGGGAAUGCCAUUCGAGACUGCAUAGCUAGGGUGCGGAAGAGGGAAGCGGAAUUUCAGGUGUAGCGGUGAAAUGCGUAGAUAUCUGAAGGAACACCAGUGGCGAAAGCGGCUUCCUGGUCCAGCACCGACGUUCAGGCACGAAAGCGUGGGGAGCAAACAGGAUUAGAUACCCUAGUAGUCC